UACGAAGGGGGCUAGCGUUGUUCGGAAUUACUGGGCGUAAAGCGCACGUAGGCGGAUCUUUAAGUCAGAGGUGAAAUCCCAGGGCUCAACCUUGGAACUGCCUUUGAUACUGGGGAUCUUGAGUCCGGAAGAGGUGAGUGGAACUGCGAGUGUAGAGGUGAAAUUCGUAGAUAUUCGCAAGAACACCAGUGGCGAAGGCGGCUCACUGGUCCGGUACUGACGCUGAGGUGCGAAAGCGUGGGGAGCAAACAGG
rnacentral:rRNA from 1 species